CAUAAACACAGCCGUACAGGAACAAGGUAAAAAGAGUAUCCCCACGCAGCCACGGCCACGUGAAUGACUGAAUGAGGUCCCUAAAUCAUGGCCUUAUAUAUCACGUCCAAGCCAUUAAAGCUGGUUUUAUCCCAACCAUUUUCACCUCCAAUCAAGUCAUUCACUUAUACUCCAAACACGGCCUUAUGCGCGAAGCUCGCAGAUUGUUCGAUGAAAUGCCCGAGAAAAACGCUUUCUCUUGGAAUGCAAUAAUCUCGGCUUAUAUAAAAUCCCAAAACUUGACACAAGCGCGAGUGUUAUUUAAUGCCGCUUCCCAUAGAGAUUUGGUUACAUAUAACUCAAUGCUGUCAGGAUAUGUAAGCGCCGAUGGGUACGAAGCUCAUGCGCUUAAGUUGUUUAUUGACAUGCAGUCGGAAUGUGAGGGGAUCAGAAUUGAUGAGUUCACUCUCACAACAAUGCUUAACUUGAUCGCCAAGCUAGGUUUCAUAUCAUAUGGAAUGCAGUUGCAUUCCUAUAUGGUGAAAAGCGCUAAUGAUUUAAGCGGGUUUGCUGUUAGCUCUCUUAUAGAUAUGUAUUCUAAAUGUGGCUGUUUUGAAGGAGCAUGGUGGGUGUUUAGCGGAUUUGAUCAUGGGGUGGUUGACUUAGUUUCGAAGAAUGCAAUGGUGGCGGCUUGCUGUAGGGAAGGCAAAUUGGAAUUGGCUUCGGAUAUUUUUUGGACAGAAGCCGAGUUAAAUGACACAGUGUCUUGGAACACAUUAAUUUCAGGUUAUGUUCAAAUUGGUUAUGGGGAGGAGACACUGAGAUUGUUCGUUCUUAUGGAAAAGAGUGGCUUUAGAUGGAAUGAAUAUACGUUUGCGAGCGUUUUGAGUGCUUGCUCUGGUCUGAAAAGUUUGAAGCUUGGAAGGGAAGUCCAUGCUUGGGUUCUGAAAAACGGGUUGUGUUUGAAUCCAUUUAUAAGCAGUGGCAUUGUUGAUGUCUACUGCAAGUGUGGGAAUAUAAAGUAUGCAGAGUCAGUUCAUUCGGCAAUUGAGAGUCGAAACCCAUUUGCAGUCACCUCCAUGAUUGUGGGGUAUGCAUCUCAAAGCAAUAUGGUGGAAGCCCGAAGGCUUUUUGAUUCAUUGCCAGAGAAGAAUAAUGUUGUCUGGACUGCUUUAUUUUCAGGUUACAUCAGAUCACAGCAAUGUGAAGCUGUGUUUGAACUUUUGCGUGAGUUUCAAGCUAAAGAAGGAACUGUUCCUGAUGCUUUAAUCCUUGUCAGUUUGCUCAGCGCUUGUGCAAUACAAGCUGACCUUGGUCCUGGAAAGCAGAUUCAUGCUUACUUACUCAGAGCGGGGAUUGGAAUGGAUGAGAAGCUGGUCACUGCUUUGGUUGAUAUGUACUCAAAAUGUGGUAGCAUCACAUUUGCAGAAAAGAUUGUCCAAAGAGUUACUGACAGAGAUUCAGUGCUUUACAAUGUAAUGAUAUCCAGUUAUGCUCACCAUGGACAUGAAACUGAAGCUAUCCAGCUUUUUAAGGAAAUGGUGGAGAGAAGUGUCAGACCGGAUGCAGUCACCUUUGUCGCCCUUCUGUCAGCCUGUCGGCACUGUGGAUUGGUAGAACAGGGUGAGCAAUUUUUCCAUUCCAUGAGAACAGACUAUAACAUAUUGCCUGAGAUCGACCACUAUGCAUGUAUGAUUGAUCUAUAUGGGAGGGCUAAUCAACUGGAGAAGGCAGUGGCUUUAAUGAAAAUGAUUCCAAUAGAAUUGGAUGCUGUAAUCUGGGGGGCCUUUUUGAAUGCUUGUAGGACAAAUGGCAAUACAUCAUUUGCAAGAGAGGCGGAGGAGAAACUACUCGAAAGUGAAGGAGUCGAUGGUGCUCGGUAUGUUCAAUUGGCCAAUGUCUAUGCUGCAGAGGGCAAUUGGGAUGAGAUGGGAAGAAUAAGGAAGAAGAUGAGAGGGAAGGAGGUCAAGAAACUUGUCGGUUGCAGCUGGGUAUAUGUGCAAAACAGAGUUCAUACAUUCACUUCUAGUGAUAUAUCUCAUUGUAAAACAGAGGAGAUAUAUAGAACCUUAGCCGGCUUGACUGAAGAACUAACCAUAUGAGAUAGCCGGAUCACUGUAUUGAAUUUGUGGUCAUCUUUGAUUGGCAGCAUGACAACACGAUUGAUUUCUGAUGCCUUGUGGAUAUAGAAAUUCAUGGGCUUUGGCACAACCGGAUGAAGGGACCUCCAUUAAUCUUUAACAAGUUCUCUCUUCAUCCUCCUGGCCCAUAUGCGUUAACAAACUUUCUGGUAGUGAUUUCGUUGGCUUCGCUCGAAAUGCACACUCGAGGCAAAGAUGUCCAGUGAUACAACUGGGGCGUGGCUUGGGCAAGCAAAGAUGGGGGGGAAACGACCUUGUUGCAUUUGGAGUCUUGGACAUGAUGCAAGCCACGACGACCCCAACGACAGGUCUCCUCUAUUCUCGUGUUGUUAUCAGCCUAGGGGGAAGUCAUUACCAUUACGGCAUUACU